rnacentral:rRNA from 1 species
AUUGAACGCUGGCGGCAGGCUUAACACAUGCAAGUCGAACGAGUGGCGGACGGGUGAGUAAUGCUUGGGAAUCUAGCUUAUGGAGGGGGAUAACUACGGGAAACUGUAGCUAAUACCGCGUACCAUAGGAUGAGCCCAAGUGGGAUAAGGUAGUUGGUGAGGUAAAGGCGCACCAAGCCGACGAUUGCUAGCUGGUCUGAGAGGAUGACCCGCCAGACUGGGACGUAGACACGGCCCAUACUCCUACGGGAGGCAGCAGUGAGGAAUAUUGCGCAAUGGGGGCAACCCUGACGCAGCCAUGCCGCGUGUAUGAAGAAGGCCUUCGGGUUGUAAAGUACUUUCAGUCGGGAGGCGUUACCGACAGAAGAAGCACCGGCUAACUCCGUGCCAGCAGCCGCGGUAAUAC